rnacentral:rRNA from 1 species
AGGGAAUUUUCGGCAAUGGGGGAAACCCUGACCGAGCAACGCCGCGUGAAGGAAGAAGUAAUUCGUUAUGUAAACUUCUGUCAUAGAGGAAGAACGGUGGAUAUAGGGAAUGAUAUCCAAGUGACGGUACUCUAUAAGAAAGCCACGGCUAACUACGUGCCAGCAGCCGCGGUAAUACGUAGGUGGCGAGCGUUAUCCGGAAUUAUUGGGCGUAAAGAGGGAGCAGGCGGCACUAAAGGUCUGUGGUGAAAGAUCGAAGCUUAACUUCGGUAAGCCAUGGAAACCGUAGAGCUAGAGUGUGUGAGAGGAUCGUGGAAUUCCAUGUGUAGCGGUGAAAUGCGUAGAUAUAUGGAGGAACACCAGUGGCGAAGGCGACGAUCUGGCGCAUAACUGACGCUCAGUCCCGAAAGCGUGGGGAGCAAAU